rnacentral:rRNA from 1 species
GAAAUCGUGUGAACCGCGGGACACAUGAGACAUCGACAUUUUGACGCACAUUGCGGUCCAUGCGAAUGUUUUAUUUAUUUAAAAACUGCAUGGACCACGUAUGGUUGAGUGUCGUAAAUUACAAGCAGAACAUAUUGUUUGUUUUAUAAUAAUAAACAUUGGGGCUAUGAAUGAUGAAUGUCAUUCAUUCAUUCAUGCUCUGAACUGUUGUAGUAUGAUGAGAUAGAGGCACAUUUUGAAUAUGUACCCAAUAGAUAUGUAAUACUACAUAGAGGUAUAUAUCAUAGUCAUUGAAUUAAUUUCCAUACGACCAUUGCUUAUAUACUCUCGCUGUAUGUCAUUGCAAGGGGAUUUAUUCGCAAAAAAAUGUGCAGAUAAUAUCAAGUACGCGACCUCAACUCAUGCGUGACUACCCCCUAAUAGUUUUCAUAUAAAUAAAC